rnacentral:rRNA from 1 species
AGAGUUGAUCAUGGCUCAGGACGAACGCUGGCGGCGUGCUUCAUACAUGCAAGUCGAACGAGAAGCUUACUUCGGUAAGUGGAAAGUGGUGGACGGGUGAGUAAUAUGUAGAGAAUCUGCCCUAAAGAGGGGGACAACAGAGGGAAACUUCUGCUAAUACCCCAUAUGCGCGUAGUUGAGAUACUAUUCGUGAAAGAUUUAUCGCUUUAGGAUGAGUCUGCAUCUGAUUAGCUAGUUGGCGGUGUAAUGGACCACCAAGGCGACGAUCAGUAGCUGGUUUGAGAGGAUGAUCAGCCACAAUGGGACUGAGACACGGCCCAUACUCCUACGGGAGGCAGCAGUAGGGAAUUUUGCGCAAUGGGCGAAAGCCUGAACCGCAGCAACGCCGCGUGACCGUAGAAGCCCUUCGGGGUGUAAAGAUCUGUCAGUAGGGACGAACAAUGACUGUACCUACAGAGGAAGCACCGGCUAACUCCGUGCCAGCCGCGGC